AACAAGAUAGAAUAUAGGGUGUCAGGAGCUAUUUUAGGUACUGUGGGCCUUGAUUGUUUAAGGCUUUGAAGGUCAGCAGGCCAAUUUUAAAAUAUGUUUGCCAUUUAAUUGGAAGCCAAUGCAGAGAGUGGAGAACAGGUGUUAUGUGGCAGGAGCAAGUUUGAUUGGUCAGUAGUCUGUCUGCUGCAUUUUGUACUGUUGGAAGGCAACAGAGUUCUUUUUUUCUGGGAGGC